UACGGAGGGUGCAAGCGUUAUCCGGAUUCACUGGGUUUAAAGGGUGCGUAGGCGGGCAGAUAAGUCAGUGGUGAAAUCCCCGAGCUUAACUUGGGAACUGCCCAUUGAUACUAUUUGUCUUGAAUGUCGUGGAGGUUAGCGGAAUAUGUCAUGUAGCGGUGAAAUGCUUAGAUAUGACAUAGAACACCCAUUGCGAAGGCAGCUAACUACGCGAAUAUUGACGCUGAGGCGCGAAAAGCGUGGGGGAUCAAAACAGGA
rnacentral:rRNA from 1 species